GCAUAGUUCAGUCGGUAGAGCAUAAGACUCUUAAUCUCAGGGUCAUGGGUUCGAGUCCCACCUUGGGCA